rnacentral:rRNA from 1 species
AUGGAGGGUGGAGGCGCAAGAAAUGUUUCUGCAGCGGCAGCACAGACAGAGGGAAGUGGGGAUGAUGGCUCCCGCAAGCCACUGCCUCCUUGCUGUGUCAAGGCGCAGGCUGCUGUGGCGGAAUCUGAGGCCAAGUGCCACGCUACUGUGGUGUCCGGGUGGUUCACAGGAACCCGCUCACGCUCUGGUAAACCAAGCAAAGCGCAGUACUUCAACAAUCCAAUGUGGCCUGGGGAGGCUCAUUCGUUGAAAGUAGAGAAGAUUUUGUACCAGGGGAAAUCGCCAUACCAAGAAGUUUUAGUAUUCGAGUCUUCAACCUAUGGGAAUGUCCUUGUGCUCGAUGGAAUUGUUCAGCUGACUGACAAGGAUGAAUGUGCAUACCAGGAAAUGGUCACUCACCUUGCACUGUGCUCAAUUCCAUCUCCUAAAAAUGUUUUGGUUGUCGGGGGUGGUGAUGGUGGUGUACUACGAGAAAUAGCCAAGCAUGAUUCAGUGGAGACUAUAGACAUAUGCGAGAUUGAUCAGCUAGUUAUUGAUGUUUGUAAAGAUUUUUUCCCACGUCUGUAUGUUGGAUAUAAAGACCCUCGUGUCCGACUUCAUGUUGGUGAUGCUGUGGAGUUCUUGAGAAAUUCUCCAGAAGGAAAAUACGAUGCCAUUAUUGUUGAUUCAUCAGAUCCAAUUGGGCCAGCUCAGGAGCUUGUGGAGAAGCCCUUCUUUCAGACAAUUGCUAGGGCUUUAAAGCCUGGCGGUGUUCUUUCUAAUCUAGCUGAAAGUAUGUGGCUGCACACACAUCUAAUCCAGGAUAUGCUUUCUAUCUGUCGGGAGGUAUUCAAGGGUGGCGUGCACUAUGCCUGGGCGAGUGUUCCGACGUAUCCUAGUGGUGUCAUUGGAUUUUUGCUAUGCGCGAAGGACGGUCCACCGGUGGACUUCCUGACUCCUGUGAACCCAAUCGAGAAAAUUGAAGGAGCUACUAAAGAUGGACGAGAGAUGAGAUUUUACAAUUCAGAGAUUCAUAGGGCUGCUUUUAUUCUGCCAACGUUUGUAAAGAGGGAGCUGGAGGCAUAUAGCACUUCCACUGAAAAGGAGAAACCGGAGAAGCCAACGGCAAAACCAGUGAAGAUGAAGGUAAUGCGGGACAGCGCAAUUACCGCUUCCUAG